rnacentral:rRNA from 1 species
UAGGGAAUCUUCCACAAUGGACGAAAGUCUGAUGGAGCAACGCCGCGUGAGUGAUGAAGGGUUUCGGCUCGUAAAACUCUGUUGUUGGAGAAGAACGGGUGUCAGAGUAACUGUUGACAUCGUGACGGUAUCCAACCAGAAAGCCACGGCUAACUACGUGCCAGCAGCCGCGGUAAUACGUAGGUGGCAAGCGUUGUCCGGAUUUAUUGGGCGUAAAGCGAGCGCAGGCGGUUUUUUAGGUCUGAUGUGAAAGCCUUCGGCUUAACCGGAGAAGUGCAUCGGAAACCGGGAGAUUUGAGUGCAGAAGAGGACAGUGGAACUCCAUGUGUAGCGGUGAAAUGCGUAGAUAUAUGGAAGAACACCAGUGGCGAAGGCGGCUGUCUGGUCUGCAACUGACGCUGAGGCUCGAAAGCAUGGGUAGCGAACAGGAUUAGAUACCCUGGUAGUCCAUGCCGUAAACGAUGAGUGCUAAGUGUUGGAGGGUUUCCGCCCUUCAGUGCUGCAGCUAACGCAUUAAGCACUCCGCCUGGGGGAGUACGACCGCAAGGUUGAAAC